GUAGCAAUACAUCACCGGCGGACGGGUGCGUAACGCGUGGGAAUAUACCUAUUGGUUCGGAACAACUGAGGGAAACUUCAGCUAAUACCGAAUGUGCCCUUACGGGGAAAGAUUUAUCGCCAAUGGAUUAGCCCGCGUCCGAUUAGCUAGUUGGUGAGGUAACGGCUCACCAAGGCUCCGAUCGGUAGCUGUUCUGAGAGGAAGAUCAGCCACACUGGGACUGAGACACGGCCCAGACUCCUACGGGAGGCAGCAGUUGGGAAUCUUGGACAAUGGGGGAAACCCUGAUCCAGCCAUGCCGCGUGAGUGAUGAAGGCCUUCGGG
rnacentral:rRNA from 1 species